ensembl:lncRNA
AGGGGAGGAGACAGAGGAGGAGACACACCGGAUGAGCCAGAGACUUCAAGGGAGGCGGGCAGGCCAGGAGGAAGUCGAGAAGAGGGCUGGGAAGCACCCCGCGCCCCGGGAGUGAGAAGGGGUAUGCGGGCCCAGCCCUCCCACGCCCACUCCGGUGACCCGGCCGCUCGCGGACCCCUAGAUGGAAGGCUAAGGAGCUCACGUACCCAGGCACACGCAGCAGCGCACAACAAAGGGCCACACAUGCUCGGAUCCCGCUCCGUCUCCGCCUGGCGCUCCAGGGCCCCGGUUACCUGCGCAGUGGCGGGAAGAGAUCCCAGAAGGGGCUGCACCUUUGGUAACUGGAAUCCGGAUGCCUGCUCCAGCGUCACCGCCCAUGCCAGCUCCGGGAAGCCCUCCUCUGCCAGAGUGAGCAGCUGAGGUGAUUUCCCUCUUCCAGGUUUCCCUGCUUGACCUGCAGUGGUUCCAUUUUGUUUGAGGCCCUUCCUUGUGCUAAGGUUUACAUUCAGGUCUCUGUCAGAGCCGAAUACCUGUUAGCGCUCAUUGGUCUGCCGCCUCCUUCCCUGGAGUACAGGUUCCCUCUUCUCUCUCACCAAGAGGGUGCUCCUCGUCAAGAGCUGGCCGCCCUCUUCCAAUGGAGUGCCAUCCUUGGAAGCUAAAAGCUCCAGCUCACCAAAGUAGUUGAGACAAUGACCUUCACAGAAGUGUGGGCUCCUUGAAGCCAUGAGUGAAGAACUCCUCUUAAAGACCAUUCUUAUAGAGCAAGGUUGGUCCUCUUAAAGCUCUCCCCAAAAAGAGAUUCCACACCUUUUCAUGAUCUAACAAAUCCUACCCAGUGGGAACAUUCUUCCUCAUUUCUCAUCUAGAGCAGCUGUUACCUUCCAGGUCCUGUAGCUAACCCUUUGAUCAUUUUCCUGGUGGAUCUGCAACGCUCCCCAACUACCUACAUGAGUGUUAGGGGUGAGAAUCUGGGGUCUGUCCCCCUUAUCUUCUCUGGAUUUUAUGCUUUAUUUUUUCCCACUGCCCCUUGCACAGUGUGGACAUAGGACAAUGCUGUUAGGUUGAGAAUGCAGCAAAAGAUUGUGCAGUAACUGGGGAGAAAGUUUUUGUUGUGAGCUGCCUCCCCUUAUACAUACAAGGAUCCUGACACAGGAGACUAUGAUCUUGUAGUGACAUGACAUAACCAUAGAUUUAUCAUUACAUCCAUCUACACCUACAUAUUUAUCAAGCACUGACAAUGCCCGAGUGCAGUUCUUUAGUACUUCCCACACGUUGCCCCAUAUACUCAAAACAAACCAAGAAAGUAGCUACUAUUUUUAUCUCCAUUUUACAGGUGAACAGACAGGCUCAGGCAGCUAAUGUAGCAGGUAGCAGGGUGAGGAUCAGAGUCCAGGCAGACCAAUUCCAAUGCGUUAGCGCCUAAACCCUGGGCUUUACUGCACUUGCAACUGGACCUUGCAACUGGACUGACUUCAGCUGAACCUUACACCCUCCCCACAGAUUUAACUUACCAGAAACAGAAACUCAUUUUUAAGUGGUGGGCAGCCCCUUUUAGUUAAGAUGCUGGCACAACUUGACAUAAUUGCUAAUGCUCACAGCUACUCUGAGAAUAGUCUCCACUUUGCAGAGAUGUUCACUAACUCCAUUGAGGUCACAUAAUGAAGAGUAGGAGGCAAGGCUGGAUUGGGCCUGAGUAUGUGGACUUCAGACUCAGGCUCCUGAGUUUAACUCUCAGCUGCCACUUACCAUCUGUGUGGCCUUUGGCAAGUUAUUUAGCCUCUCUGUGCCUUGGUGUCCUUGUGUAUGAAGUGGGGCCUCAUAGGUUAUUAUGAGGAUUAAAUGAGUUAUUACAGUAAAACAUUUGAUAUCAUGAGUGCCCAAUGAAUGUUACCCGAAGAAAGACUCAGUCCACCCACAUGAUGAAAGGGAUCGCAUUUGAAUGGCGGAAAUAUGGUGUAACAUUUUCUUCUUUCUAAUUUUUAAAAUUAUCUUCCAAGUUCUCUUUAGUGAGCUUGCACAAUGAAGACGGAAGUAUAUUCUCACAGUCUCCACAUUGAUCGUAUUUAGCCCCAAAUCACUCUUCUCUCCACAUUCUCUUCUGGUCUCAUUGUUCCUGCCACUUUGGAGUUACCUGUGCUCUCUGCCUUUGGGCUUUUCUUGCAAAUAUCCAGCUGGCUCCUGGGUUCACCCUGGUAAUGGUCCUCUCUGGGCCACAUCUAUCCCAUUGUCUACUGCUGCUGCCCUUGCUCUGGGCUCUGCCAGCUUCCCAAUAAAUUCCAAGCCACCUUGUAUACCGCAUGAGGUUCCCUCCUCCAGCCCUGCCUUUAUCUGCCCUUUACCUGUUCAGACCCUCAGUGACCCCCAACAGCAUCUCUGGCAGUGUGCACAGAGCCAGCGGUUCCCUGGAUGGAUUCGUAAAGUACGCUUUGUAGAGAAGUAGAGAGUGUUAAACCUACUGAGGGGCUUAGCUAAAGGCAUUCCCCUUACAUAUAGGAAACUCAGCUCAGAGACCUGUCCUUGAUUUGUUCAGAGACACAGAGCUAAUGUGUGGCAGAGGCCACCUGCAGACUUAAGGUCUCUUGACUGCCAAUCUUGGGCCCUGUCCAUGAGUCUGCCCUGACUUCCUGCAAAGCAUUUCCAGAGGACACAUACGGUUUUCUAAUUGUUUAUUGCAGGCCCAAGAGGAGCUGUCUGGAUGAUUUAGCUCUUUUGUUAGACUCACCCUCCCUCUGUGAGCUUGGAGAAGAGUUGGCUUGGGUUUGUGCUCCUGGCUUCAUUCUUAUGUGCCAUAUCCCCAGUACCAGCCAUUACUCUUAGGAUUGAGUGCUUUGGUGAGAAUAUUCAGUCCUUAACACCACUGCUUGAAAAGGAACACUGACUACCUAGUCUCGGAUGGUGAUCUGGUGGUUUCUAUAGUAGGUGUGGCGGGUUGUCCACAGUGAUGGCCAGCAAAGAUGGUAGACCCUACUUCACCUUCCCAUAUGUGCACACUGCCCCUCCCACCAAGAGGUGGCAUCUGUGUUCCCUUCCGUUUGAAUCUGUAACUUGCUUUGACCACAGGACAUGCAGAAGUGGUGCCCUGUGACUUCCAGGCUGUAGCCAUAUGGCUUGCAUUUUUUCCCUCUUAGAACCAGUUGUGAAACAAAGAAGCUUGACUUCCCUGCUGGGGAGAGAGGCCACCUGAAGUGAGCCAGCCGCUGGAGGAUGUGACAACAAAGGGAGAGAGGAGUACAGCUUCCCCUCAGCCACCUCAGGAGAGUAACUGUGUGAAGCCAUCUACUAUCCUUGGCCUCAGUUGAGAUGCCUGGUAGAGACCAUCUGCACUGGCCAAUCCCUGCCCAAGAUGCAGAUUCGUGAGUAAAUAAAUGGCUGUGUUUGUUUUACACCUGUGUAUUUUGGGGUGGUUUGUUAUGUGGCAAUAAUAACAGAAAUGGAAGGAUAAUAUAUUUAUAGAAUAAAUUUUAGGUUUAAUUAUUUAAUGAUCAUAAACAUUUUAUUUUAUAUUUUGGUGCUGGAACCCAGGAAUGAAUAAAUAAAUUUUAGAAACAAAUUCCAGUUUUGUGGCACCUGGGUGGCUCAGUUGGUUAAGCCUCUGACUUCAGCUCCCGUCAUGAUCUCACAGUUUGUGGUUUCGAGACCCGUGUCGGGCUCAGUGCUGACAGCUCAGAGCCUGGAGCCUGCUUUGGAUUCUAUGUCCCAUUCUUUUUCUGCCCCUCCACCACUUGUGCUCUGUCUCUCUCUGUCUCUCAAAAAUAAAUAAAUGUAAAUUUUUUUUUAAUUCUAAAAGAAAUAAAUUUUAGUUUUAAUGAUCUAAGUCAGGCUGCUGACUUAGGCAAGGCCACUUGAUUGGUUCAAUUUUUAUUUAAAGGAGACAGGUCUUCUGAGAUACUACUACAGCCUUAAAGAGGCAUUUUAAUUUUUUUCUUAAUGUUUAUUCGUUUUUGAGAGAUAGAGACAGAGUGUGAACUGGUGGGGGGUUGGGUAUGCAGAGGGAGAGGUAGACGCAGCGUCUGAAGCAGGCUCCAGGCUGUGAGCUUCAGCACAGAGUCUGACAUGGGGCUGAACUCACAAACCACGAAAUCAUUACCUGAGCUGAAGUCAGACACCCAACCAAUUGAACUACCCAGGCACCCCUUAAAGGGGCAUUUAAAAAAUGUUUAAUUUGGGGCACCUGGGUGGCUCAGUCGGUUGAGCACCCAACUUCGGCUCGGGUCAUGAUCUCGCAGUUCAUGGGUUUGAGCCCCGCCUUGGGCUCUGUGCUGACAGCUAGCUCAAAGCCUGGAGCCUGCUUCAGAUUCUGUGUCUCCCUCUCUCUCUGCCCCUCCCCUGCUCAUGCCAUCUCUCUCUCCAUAAGAGAUGCCGCCUCUCAAACCGUAAGAGAUUCUUAAAUACAGAGAACAAACUAAGGGUUGCUGGAGGGGUUGUGGGCAGGGAGAUGAGCUAAAUGGGCAAGGAGCAUUAAGGAGGACACUUGUGGGGAUGAGCACUGGGUGUUAUUUGUAAGUGAUGAAUCACUAAAUUCUAUUCCUGAAAUCAUUAUUACACUAUAUAUUAACUUGGGUGUAAAUUUUAAAAAAUAAUAAAAAAAUUUUCAUUUCAUGUUUACAUAUGUAUGCAUUAUGAUAUUAAAUAAAUUCCUUACUCUGAAUGAUGGUCUAAAUUUUUUGUGUGUGUGGCCCAAAUUUUGAAAAACUCUGCAGUGUUAACAAAAGAGAUGUAUAAAACUGCUUAAUGAUACAAAAGUAUUCAAAAGAUAUUAAAUUAUAAAAUGGCUUGCAUAUGUUACAAAAUUAUCUAAUUUCAUGGAAAUCCAAAACAAACAAAGCUCUGUGAAAAGUGAAAAAUAAAUUUACCAAACAGAUCAUUUAUACUUUUCUUCUUUAUCU